ACGGCUCAGUAACACGUGGAUAACAUGCCCUAAGGUGGGGGAUAAUCUCGGGAAACUGAGGAUAAUACCCCAUAGGUCUGAUCUGCUGGAAUGCUUUCAGGCCGAAAACUCCGGUGCCUUAGGAUUGGUCUGCGGUCUAUCAGGCUGUAGUGGGUGUAACGGACCCACUAGCCCGUGACGGAUAUGGGCCUUGAGAGAGGGAGCCCAGAGAUGGACUCUGAGACAUGAGUCCAGGCCCUACGGGGCGCAGCAGUCGCGAAAACUUCGCAAUGGGGGCAACCCCGACGAGGGAAUUCCAAGUGCCAGCACUUUGUGUUGGCUGUUCUCCUGUCUAAAAAACAGGAGGAGUAAGGGGCGGGUAGGACGGGUGCCAGCCGCCGCGGUAAUACCCGCGCCCCUAGUGGUGGUCGAUAUUAUUGAGCCUAAAACGUCCGUAGCCGGUCUUUUAAAUCCUUGGGUAAAUCGGACAGCUUAACUGUCCGAAGUCCGGGGAGACUGGAAGACUUGGGACCGGGAGAGGUCAGAGGUACUCCUGGGGUAGGGGUAAAAUCCUGUAAUCCUGGAAGGACCACCGGUGGCGAAGGCGUCUGACUAGAACGGAUCCGACGGUGAGGGACGAAGCCCUGGGGCGCAAACGGGAUUAGAUACCCCGGUAGUCCAGGGUGUAAACGCUGCGGGCUUGGUGUUGGGGGUCCUUAGUGGGCGCCCAGUGCCGGAGAGAAGUUGUUAAGCCUGCUGCUUGGGGAGUAUGUCCGCAAGGAUGAAACUUAAAGGAAUUGGCGGGGGAGCAC
rnacentral:rRNA from 1 species